rnacentral:lncRNA from 1 species
GGCGGGCCGGACCGGGCCGGCGGAGGGGAGCGGAAGCCCACCGGGGCUGGCCCGCCGCUGACCCGCCGCCUCCGUCUGCCUCCUCCCGGGCUCUGGGCCCAGCGCGCCCAGAUGCCGGGCAGGACCCCUCCGCCCGCUGCUGGAACACCAAUAGCAGCGUUGGAGCCUCUGGGCCGGAGGAACUGGGGCCUCCACCGACACCUGCUUCUUCCCUCACCUCGCAGCCUUCCACACCUGUUGAUCUGACCUCUGCCCCGCUGCCGCCCAGGAGUAACCUAAGGCUUUUGGCCUGAUUCGAGCUCACUCCGUCUAAACCUCUAAAUGCGGUGCGAAAAAAUCCUGGGGAAUGUGCCAUGCAAAGCCUGGGCAUUUCAAGUGCUUUUCUGGAUUCGCAUCAACUCCUCUUUACAGGCAUCUUUAUCCGGAAUUCAGCUCGUCCCAAACCCCACGUGGUGUAGCUCUGCUUGUGUUUUUGAAUCCCGGGGCCUCUUUGAAUCAGAAGCCCUUUGUAUAGAGAUAAGUAUCCUUUAGGCCAGAAUCAGCCUCCAUUUUUUUCGCAGUCCCAUUUCCUACCCGUAAUACUUUCUUCUGAUUUUAAAGCCAUUUGAUAGAGAAGGGACAGGGAACAGAACCUUCGCCCCCCGCCUGAGCAGCUGGUAGACUAGAUAUCUUCCAAACAUUAUCUCAUUUACUUCCCUGGAGUUACAAAUAGGUAGAUUUCAUGUCCGUUGAGGGGUGAGAAAGCUGAAACUUUGAGACUUAAGAAUCCUGGCCGAGGUCAGCCUCCUCCGAAGCUUCAUCUCUUGCCACCACUUUCUGGUGCACACCUAGGACAGAUUUCAAUCCCUGAGAUCCCAGGAUGAAACCUAUGUUUGCCAAAUACCAGCUACUGUGCCAGAAGAGAUCAUGGAACCAGGUGUGGAAAGCUGCUUGAGAAGAGGAGCCAAAACAUCAUAGUUGAACCGUCCUGGAAUAGAAACUCGCCCUGAAUUCUUUCUUGUGUGAAAUCCAAGAGCCCUCUCUUGGGGUUGGAUCGGGACCCUGUUCCUGUAACAAGUCCACAAUGCCAGAGAAUUAAAGAGAACCACAAAGUUCCUGUUAUCGUGCUUUGAGGUGCACUGAACUGCAGCAAACCCAGGGGAUCCAAGGCUACGUUGAAAAGCCUUUGACCACAGUGCAGGGAGCAGAAGACAUUAAUGACGUGAUGUCGACACAGCCCGCACUCAGGAUCCUCCAGGAAAAGAACACAGAGAUAACCCCGGAUCGAUGGUACUUUUUGAAAAUGCUUUAUUGCAAAAGAGUGGCUAGGGUUUUACAAGGGCUAUGAAGAAACAUAUUAAGGUUAA